rnacentral:ncRNA from 2 species
AUCUUAUCGUGAGAGACUGAGGGAUAGGCCUAAGAAGUCUCAGCAACCAGCUCAAGGAGUCAGGUGCUAAUUCCUACUGGCAUGAUAUGCCGAGAGAUAAGAA